GACGGACGCUGGCGGCGUGCUUAACACAUGCAAGUCGAACGGAAAGGCCCUGCUUUUGUGGGGUGCUCGAGUGGCGAACGGGUGAGUAAAACGUGAGUAACCUGCCCUUGACUUUGGGAUAACUUCAGGAAACUGGGGCUAAUACCGGAUAGGAGCUCCUGCUGCAUGGUGGGGGUUGGAAAGUUUCGGCGGUUGGGGAUGGACUCGCGGCUUAUCCGCUUGUUGGUGGGGUAGUGGCUUACCAAGGCUUUGACGGGUAGCCGGCCUGAGAGGGUGACCGGCCACAUUGGGACUGAGAUACGGCCCAGACUCCUACGGGAGGCAGCAGUGGGGAAUAUUGCACAAUGGGCGGAAGCCUGAUGCAGCAACGCCGCGUGCGGGAUGACGGCCUUCGGGUUGUAAACCGCUUUCGCCUGUGACGAAGUGUGAGUGACGGUAAUGGGUAAAGAAGCACCGGCUAACUACGUG
rnacentral:rRNA from 1 species